rnacentral:rRNA from 2 species
UGGGGAAUAUUGGACAAUGGGCGAAAGCCUGAUCCAGCAAUGCCGCGUGAGUGAUGAAGGCCUUAGGGUUGUAAAGCUCUUUUACCCGGGAUGAUAAUGACAGUACCGGGAGAAUAAGCUCCGGCUAACUCCGUGCCAGCAGCCGCGGUAAUACGGAGGGAGCUAGCGUUGUUCGGAAUUACUGGGCGUAAAGCGCACGUAGGCGGCUUUGUAAGUUAGAGGUGAAAGCCUGGAGCUCAACUCCAGAAUUGCCUUUAAGACUGCAUCGCUUGAAUCCAGGAGAGGUGAGUGGAAUUCCGAGUGUAGAGGUGAAAUUCGUAGAUAUUCGGAAGAACACCAGUGGCGAAGGCGGCUCACUGGACUGGUAUUGACGCUGAGGUGCGAAAGCGUGGGGAGCAAACA